GGUUAGUGGCGGACGGGUGAGUAACGCGUGAGAAUCUGCCCUCAGGAGGGGGAUAACAGUUGGAAAGAACUGCUAAUACCCCAUAUGCCGAGAGGUGAAACGAAUUUUGCCUGGGGAUGAGCUCGCGUCUGAUUAGCUUGUUGGUGGGGUAAAAGCCUACCAAGGCUUCGAUCAGUAGCUGGUCUGAGAGGACGAUCAGCCACACUGGGACUGAGAUACGGCCCAGACUCCUACGGGAGGCAGCAGUGGGGAAUUUUCCGCACUGGGCGCAAGCCU
rnacentral:rRNA from 1 species